UAAGAGCAAAAAACCAGCUAAAAGGUAUGCUAAAUUACACGUGACAUUCAAUUCUGAAUUUUGAUUUAAUUUUCAAUCAUUGAUUGGCCCUUAAUGAUUGAUCAGUAUAUUUUCCUAUCUUGUCAACAAAUCGGAAGGUAAUGUUAUUGGUGCUAACUAGCAAUUUGUGAUUCAAUGUAAUAUUUCUUGUACCAAGUACAUUGUUAUUAUUUACAUCUUUCUACUGGCAUCAAGUACACAAUUAUUCCAGUUGUUAGUCCUUUGCUCUGUCUUUAUGUUUAUUGAUUCUCCUCCAUUAUAAGAACCAGCCUCCGGUGUAUAUUCAAUGACUGGCCAAGCAUCUUGUGCAUUUUGUUAGUUGAUCUUCUCAAAGGGUAGGUAAUGGGCAUUAUUAGGUUAUUUAUGUAGUGGAGGUUUAGGACAUUUUGCAGGCUGCUCAUUAAAGCUAGAAUUGGAGGCUAGAAUGAGUUGGAAUUUAGGUGGAAAAUUAGGAUUGUGAAAGGAUGGAAUUGAGAAG
rnacentral:misc_RNA from 1 species